CGCACCGCCAACCGCACCAGCCAACCACAUGAUCUUGCCUCCCCCGACGCCUCCAGCGCGCCGCCGCCACCGCUGGCCGCCGCCGCCCACCCCGCCGGCGCGCCUACCCCUACCCCAAGUGCCCCCACACCCGCAGCCUUCCACUGCCGGCGACCCGCGUCCUUCCACCGCCGACGACGAGGAACUGCCGGAUCUCGACGGAUCCGGUGGGGAAUGGCGCGCAGGUGGCGAAUCUUGAAGGAAGGCGGCCGGAGCGUGGAGCACGACGGCUGGCCGGUGUGCCAUGGCAUCGGGUAACUUUGAGAGCGGCGAGGCGCGGCGGCGGCCCUGCUGCUGCUUGCUGGUGGUUCGCCGGCCAUCGGCUGAGGUGGGACUCGGGUGCGCGGAGGCGUCGGGGAUCGAGGGAGCUCUCCUCCCUCGUGGUUGAAGCACUCGGGGUCGAGCAAGUGAGCGACGUUCGGUCGUCGCCUUCGUCGGCCUUCGUCCGUUCCCCUCGCGUGCCUUAUCCCCUCGGCCUUCUCUCUAACGAUUCUUUCCCUGAUCUCCUGGGCUGUCUACAUCUUCGUCAUCUCCUAAUCCCUCUCUUCCUCACACGUAAGGUACAUCCCCUCUCCCUUCCCCAUUAAUUUGCUACCUUGGAUUAGAUUUCUCUGGUUGAAAUUGGAGCCUUGUGUAGUUUAGUGUUGAUUGAGCUACACACUAGCGAUUGCACAAGGUUGUAGUCAAGAGAAUUUUGGAUGGUUGCGGCUGCUGCUGCUGCUGGAUGCAGUUGUUAGAAUUAUAAAGGAAUUCAGUGGGUAAUGUGUCAGAAAGUUAGACAAUUUAGCUAUGGAUAUUUUCAAUAUUUAGCAACUUAAUUUUGGGCUUCAGUGUCCUGUACAUGAAUUUCUGAUGCCUUCCACUUCUAGGAGUUGUGGUUUAUUUAUGCAAACAUGAACCUUAUAUAAGUAAUUGGUGUUCCAUUGAUGUGUCCAAAUGACCUUGAAAUAUAAAAUUGAAUUGUGUAAGUGAAUUGAUGAUGGUACAUGCUUCAGUUUCUGAAGAUUGGGAAGCAAUUCUCAUGACAUUUCCAUGCGAAUCUUUUUAAAUCCACUUUUGGGUGACUCAUUUUUUAUUAUAUUGAAUUUAGAUUCACAUUGCCAUGCCGAGAUUUGUGAAAACUGUUCACUUUUUCUUUUCUGGGUGUAGCAUCUGCAGGCCUACAUGCAAUCAUUAUUUUUGUUAAGCAACAGAAUGCUACAGUUAUGUAGAGAGUUAGAGGCGAGGGGCGAUGAGAGUUGGUUUAUGUUGGUAUUCAACUGGUUGCUUCUUAUGGUUUGGUACGUCUAUAUAAAGCUCACAUGUAUUUCGCUGCAUUUGCUUAAAAAGUGUAUCCGUGUAGAUUUUCAGUUCAAAGGUUUGCAUUAAGUAUAUUUUCACUCCAUGCACAUGAUACAUUUCUUAUCACCCAAUGUGCUGUUUAGGGGAAACUGAUCCUUCUAAUCUGGCAUUCUUUUUGGUCUUCCCUGCUUUAGGUAGUUCAUGCUGACUCCUUAAUUCUUCAGUGAUAAUGAGUUAUUCAUGGAUCUAGCAACUGACUGUAUUUGCUUUGUCUCAAGAUCAUGGAUACUUUUUUUCAUGAGAUCAUGGAUACUUGAAUGCCCUUUGUUGACAAUAUACGGUUUCUGAUUGUUUUCGUACGUUUAUGCCUCUUCUGAGCUUGUGAAACCCAUUUAUUUUCCCAAAGAUCACUUGUGCCUACUAAGUCUUGGGAUCCAUUUUUUUGUUCCUAUGUGACCAAUCCCUAGAAGAAUGCAUGCUCCCUAGCCAUAGAAGAAAUCAGCAGGUGGAUAAAGUUCAGGGCCUGAGGCAGCAAUAGUUCUUCAAAGGCACUGGGCAAUAAUUGAUUGGUUGAAGGUAGCAUUUUCUGUCGAGCUUCAAUUGACAGGGAAGAAAUUGUUUCUAUAUGUGCCUUUGGUUUUCUUUCGCUUAGGGAGUUCGUACAGUUCUUUUUUCAGGGCAAGAGAUUCUUCUGCUAGAUAAGAAAGAGCACUCUGAUUAAUUAGAUCAGAAGUUGCUUUUUCCAUCGAGCUUCAGUUGAUAUGGAAGAAAUUGUUUCUGCCUAUGCCUUUGGUUUUAUUUUACUUAGGGAGUUUGUAUAGUUUUUUUCAGGGGAAGAGAUUCUUCAGCUGGAUGAGAAAGAGCACUCUGAUUAAUUAGAUCAGAAGUUGCGUGUGAUGAUGAUUGCUCGUGCAGACUACAAUGGCACCAACAACCGGGCGUGGUCGUCAGUGAGGCGCCGUCAGUGGACAUGAGUAAAGCUUAUUGACCUAUACAAUUCAUGGUUUGGCAUAUUUGCUUCAUCAGAGUGCUUUCUCUGAGAUGAUUGAGAUCCUUAAUUUGCAUUGGUUUAUCUUUGCCGCAUCUCUUGCAAUACAUUAGUGGAAAGUUUAGCAGUGCUGAUCUUCUAAACUUGAAGUUAAUUAUGACUUGCUUAAACUCAUAAUAAUUUUAUUUUGGAGAGUGUAGAAAUCAUUUUGAGGAAACAGUGAACACAAAAGUUGGGGCAUCCUGGGUAAUCAGCUUGGAGAAGCCCAGAAAAAUCUGACAGGAGUGGUGACAGUAGCAGCAGCAUGCCUGAUACAAGACCCCUGAAUAGUGAUUGGAGCAUUAAAGCCAUGCCGUUGGAUGAUGUAUCAUAAAACAGAAUUUCACUUUGGACAGCUGCAUGUGUACAUAUGUGGUGGAGGAACUCAACAAUUUCCAGUAAAAGCAAACAUUUUUGCAGUCAAAGGUUGUGCUUCUCGAUGAUCAGAUAUUUAUGGCAUGGUUGUUUAUGCUCUGCUCAUGGUCGUGCCUGCGAAGCUAUGAUGACUUGACGACAGGAGAAGUGGUCAGGAUUGAGCCAUCGGACAAGAGAUGACCGCCGUCGAUUGCCAACAAAUUUCUGUAUGCCGCAGUGAGCGGGAUGCGUUCAAUAUCUUCAGAUGCUCUGCGCUGCACCCGCUAUAUUUGAUAUGAGUCCACAUGCAAAAUAAAGGCAUCACAUGUUCUGGGUUGUUCAGCUUUUUUUAUUUUUUUCGUGAUUGGAUUAUAUGCUGCUCGGUGUUGAAGGGUUUGUUCAUGCCAAAGUUAAUAAAUCUUGUGAUGUUACCA